rnacentral:rRNA from 1 species
CGGACGGGUGAGUAACGCGUAAGAACCUGCCCUUGGGAGGGGAACAACAGCUGGAAACGGCUGCUAAUACCCCAUAGGCUGAGGAGCAAAAGGAGGAAUCCGCCCAAGGAGGGGCUCGCGUCUGAUUAGUUAGUUGGUGAGGCAAUGGCUUACCAAGGCGACGAUCAGUAGCUGGUCCGAGAGGAUGAUCAGCCACACUGGGACUGAGACACGGCCCAGACUCCUACGGGAGGCAGCAGUGGGGAAUUUUCCGCAAUGGGCGAAAGCCUGACGGAGCAAUGCCGCGUGAAGGCAGAAGGCCCACGGGUCAUGAACUUCUUUUCUCGGAGAAGAAAAAAUGACGGUAUCUGAGGAAUAAGCAUCGGCUAACUCUGUGCCAGCAGCCGCGGUAAGACAGAGGAUGCAAGCGUUAUCCGGAAUGAUUGGGCGUAAAGCGUCUGUAGGUGGCUUUUCAAGUCCGCCGUC